CUGUCUUAAAAACAGACAGCAUAGAAACUAAAGUUAGAAUAAUAGAAGAUUAGCAUGGCCUCUGUGUAAGGGAUGACACGAAAAUUCAUAAAGCAUUCCAUACUUAC